AUAAUCUUUUUAAUUCUUAUUUACAUUUUUAACUGAUAAAUUAUGAAUAUAAAACUUAAAAUUAAUUUAAAUUCAAAAAUAAAAGGACACCAACAUAGAUUUCUUAAACAUUAAAAUUUUUCUAUAAGUUUAGACUACAUUUAAUCAGCACAUUAGUUGAAGUUUUAUAGGAACCGAACAUUUGGCUGACCAUGGACUACCCACCGACGGAGAAUUUGUCACAAAGCUGAUGGGAAAUGUGUCGGCGGCACUCGGCUUCGUUUCAACCCGGAGGAAGAUCGGCAGCAUCAAUAAGAAGUUCAUCCUAAUAUCAACUGUCCAAAGGAUUUUGAAGAAUAAUUCGUCACAAAGUUGAUGGAAAAUGUAUUGGCUGUGUUUCAACAUGGAGGACGUCUGGCAGCAACAAAAAGAAAUUCAACUGAUAAUCAACUGUCGAAAGGAUUUGUUUUGAAGAAGAAUUUGUCGCAAAGCUGAUGGGAAAUGUGUCGGCGGCUUCGUUUCAACCCGGAGGAAGAUUGGCAGCAUCGACGAGAAGCUCAUCUUAAUAUUAUUAGUAGUAUAUAUUGUAGUUGUAAUGAUGUAGUAUAUAAUAUUUAAGUAGUUUAUUUCUUUACAUAUUUAUUUAAUAGCUCAUC